rnacentral:lncRNA from 1 species
AUAGUAGCAUCAUCAAGAUAGUGUUCGAUGGAAAAGUGGUCGACAUGAAAGUUGUGUGCGUCUUCAAUACGAACAACUUUGAUUUUGGAGUCAUCUUAAUCGGAGGUCGUAUGCGGGCCCCACGGGCAGAAUACCGACCGGGACAGAAGAGUUCGUGUUGGAUUCAGACUCAGUUUAGGGUCGCGAAUUUUCCCUUAUAAAUAGAGGGCGUCCUAGUUAAGGUUUUAGCAAGGACGUGAGAGGACUCAGAGCUUUGGAUUUAGAUCAAUUCUUGGAGAGUUCUUGGAUGCAUGGUUGCAUCUUUUGUAAUCGAUCGACAUUGUUGCAAUAAAGAGAUUCGUUAGCGGUGUCAUCUAUGUGUAACAUCCCAAAAUUUCAAACCUUUACAUGUGCAUUGCAUCCAUGAGCAUCAUGCCACAAUUGCAUGUUUGAAUUCAAAUUUUGAAUCACAAAAGGCUUUAAGAGAUUUUGUUUACAUCCCUGUAACCUUUGGAUUUUCAAACCAAUAGGGUUGAUGUAUAAAAAGGGUUUAAUGCAUAUAUAAGCUAUCCCAUAAUUUUUGGUUAACUAAUUGGAGUUGAAAAAGUAUUUUAUCCUAAAGGCGUUUAUAGGGCAAAUGUAUUUUUGUAUAUUUUAUUUUGAGGGAAAACUACUCUCAAAAGUUGUAUCUUGAUAGAACAAGAUUUUACAAAUUUUCUGGAUUUUAUUUGGGCCAAUUUGGAGUUCAAAAUCAAAAGUUAUCAAAGGAUUGAAAAAAAAAAGAAAAGAAAAGAAGAAAACUGGACCGAACC